UACGUAGGGGGCAAGCGUUGUCCGGAUUUAUUGGGCGUAAAGAGCGUGUAGGCGGCCUUUUAAGUCCUGCGUGAAAUCCUGCGGCUCAACCGCAGACGGUCGUGGGAAACUGGAAGGCUAGAGUGCGGGAGAGGAGAGUGGAAUUCCUGGUGUAGCGGUGAAAUGCGCAGAUAUCAGGAAGAACACCCGUGGCGAAGGCGGCUCUCUGGGACGGUACUGACGCUGAGACGCGAAAGCGUGGGGAGCGAACAGG
rnacentral:rRNA from 1 species